CCAUUGUUAAGAGCAAUGGGUCGUGAACAGGAAAAGGGAAGGCGGUGAAAAGCCGCUGCUGCCCCGCAACUGUAAUCCCGAUACCGAAUAGUAUUCGGAAUGAGUACCUUGGCUAACGUAGCCACUGUCCUGCCCCUGGGCGCGACGGGAAGGCGGCCAGGGUCGGGAGAGCCAGGAGACCUUGCCUGUUCUUAAACUGUCGA
rnacentral:ncRNA from 2 species